UGCAUAGUUAAGUUCUACAGAGACUGGAGAAAAACAAAUUUACUUACCAACAUCUUGCAAUAUCUUUUUCUACUUUUUUUUUUUUUUUUUUUUUUUUUUUUACAUACAGCAGCUUCAACUGCUUUUUUAUUUUAGACAACAUAUCUUUUCAAUCCAGCCAGCCUGCAGUGGCAGAGUAUAUUUUAGGGAGCUGUACAGCCAUCUGGAAAGGUUUUAUUUUUUGUUAUGUUUAUCCUUUGCACUUUUCAGAUUUCUGUCAACGUCCAUGGUAACAGCUGCUAUGAUACUUUCCAUUCUUGUGUGGUUUGAGAACUGCACAAUCCAAUGUGGUUUGCAGUCUAGACUUCAAUCAACCACCAAUUUGUAAGACCAAUAGUGGGGGAGUGACUUUGGAGUGUAUUAUAAGCUGCCAUAAGUGCCAUUUCUGUGUCCUUUUAGCUUAUGGUUUAUUUCAAGGGUCGUUGAUCAGAAGACUAUGCAUUAGUUUUUCAUAUUCAUGUGUGCAUAUAUAUAUAUAUAUAUUUAUACAUAUAUAAAAUCCUGAAAAUUUUGACUUUUGAAUUACAGGUUUUGUGUUUGAUUUGUGAUUUGGGUUUUUUGUUGCUUGUUUUCGGUUUUGUUUUUUUGAUUUUUUUUUAUUUAUUUAUUUUAUUAUCCUUUAUACUCCUCUCAUCCACCCUGUAAAUUAAAUUACUUUCUUUGCUUGGGAGAGUGUAAACUCUGAAGUGUUCUGUUCAUGUAUGGCUCUAUUUUAUUUUUCAUGAACAGUAGUAACUUGCAUAUGUAUAACAUAAUUCAACUCACAGAAUUAAAAAAGGUGGUAUCACCUGCAGGUAAAGACAUAAUAACUGUUUCAACAACAAAACAAAAACCCUGUAAAAACAAUUGUAAAAGCGGUAAAUAAAUAUUUUUUCUAAAAAAAGUAACUAAAUCUGAGGGAAACAUUUGUGAAGAUGAAAUCUGAUCUGAAAUCUGAGUUGCCCUGAGUGUUAAAAGUAAAAAAGAAAAAAAUAUUACAGAUUGAUUGCAUAAUAUUUUGAAAAAAGUUCCCCAAACGUAUGUGGAAAUUACUGGAAAGAAAAAUAUUCCAAUAAUUUCCUAUCUUGAAUUCAGGAACCUUACGGUAUGUGACCUACAUUCAAUUACUUGCCAGACUUUUAGGUGCUUACAAAGCCCAGGGAGCAUCAGCAGCUGUGCCAGGGAUGUGUGCUGAGCCCAGAGCCACCCCAACACCCAAGAGCAAACACCGAGGUGGCACUGCUGCCUCAGCAGCUGCCUUCUGGGGGCUCAGCUCUUUAGAUCUAAAUUAAUCCUGUGCAUCUUCAGAGCCAUGCAAGGCAGAGCCUGUUCUAAUCUGGAAGCUGAUGCUCUGUUUGUGGCCAGUGGAGAAUAUGCAGGGAGAGAUUGAUCCUACCUUAAGAUCUGAACAACCAUUCAAGGUAAAAAACUGUAUAUUUAGAUCAUAGAAUUUUAAGGUUGGAAAAGCCUUUCAAGAUCAUUGAGUUCAACCAUUAACACAGCACCACUGUGCUCGCUAUUAAACCACAUCUCCAGGUGCCUUUAGAACACUCCAGAGAUGGUGAUUCCAACACUUCCCUGGGCACCCUGUUGCAAGGCCUGGGGUAUAAAAAAAUUUAAUUACUCUGUACUUGAAAUUCAGUGUUUCAUUUCCAUCUCCUAAAAUCAACUUUUGCACAAACAUCUAUCGCCUGGGACAUUAGGCUCAGAACACUAUCUGAGCAGCAAGGAUACAAAGAUUUCUCUUUCUUUCACAUGGCAAGUUUAGGAGAAAAAUAUAUUUCUGUGACUUAUUCAGAUUUUGCAGCAAUGGGCAAUGUAGAUACCUAAGCAAGGUCUUUACAUCAAAGAAAAACUGAGAGUCUCUAAUUGGAAUCUGCCUUACAGCUAAUGAGCUCUUCAGUUCACCAGUGAGGGCUUUACCCUUCCCUUUCACAACCUAAACAGAAAAGCCAAACUGUAGCCAGCAAAUUUUCAUGAUCUUAUUCUACCUCUGUAUCACAAGGCCAGGGUAGUGCCUCUGAAAAAUCACAUGGGUAUAUGAAGCCAAAUCCUCCUUAAAGCACUUAUAUUUAUGCAAAGUUUGACUGGUCUUAAGGAAUAAGAGAGGGGGAAAAAAAAGCCCUGUGAAUUUAUACCCAGUAGAGUGUGCUGAACUGUAGGCCCAGCAACGUCAGCAUAUCAGGAAAAACAACUCUCGGGAAUUCUUAACAUCAUCGAGCAGAGAGAAAUUUUGUAUAUGAUGUAAAUAUUGGACUUCCUGUCUUUCUAUAUUGUUACUGUUAACUUCUUUACUUUUUAAGCUGUGUGGUAUGGUACGUGUCAGUCUCUGUUGUACCUGAAAGUUCCUAUAAGCAAACAGAAUUAUGAUAAAUCUCUUGAGUUUCCCUGAGGCAUUUUUGCUGCUGCUGGAAACCUGAGGUCAGUGUGCAGUCAGUCCUGCAAACAUCCCCCUUGACUAUCAACUAGGACAGCAAUGAGUCAGGAUGCUGUGACACUGGAAUGCUUUAAUAAAAAACUCACAAUACAGAGCUUUGGGAAUCAGCAUCUUUAGGAAGUGUAAAAAAUCUUUUUGUUUCUUCUAAGGAUCAGGGAAAAAAAAUCAUGUCUAUCAAACCAUCAAAUGUGCAGAAGAAAUUGUCCCUGAGCAUACUCUGUAAGUUCACAGACACAUCUGGCAGCGAGAGUCCUGCUACUUUAUCGUGACCCACUGACAAUUCACACUAAGGUGCCUGCCUCCUUCAAGGCUCAAGCUACAAGGAAAAUAAUUUCCAGUUUGAAUUAAAUAGACAAAUUAAUAAAAUUGGAUAUUGUUUUUUCACUUUAGAGGCUAGAGGUCAGACUCAAACAGACUAACACCCAAAAAUGACACACCAAGAUUUAGUGUUAUGGUUCAGAAAAUCUGAGUUAUCCAUCCUGGGCUCUUAAUGCAGAGCUGCUUCCAAGGGAGCCCUCAUAGCCUGUAUUCCCACUGUGGAGCAGGGCAGCAACUGAGUAAUUGUCCUGCCCAGCUCAGGGCUGUAUGCUAAAGGUAGGAUACAACCACCCUAACUUAAAGCAUCUAAGGAGGUUUUCUGUCUCUAAACUACCUCUAUGGUCCACACACAAAAGAAAAACAGUUAAAGCACCUCCCAGGACACCUAUUCCAAGAGAUGAAGUACUUCCCUAGAUGUGCUUGUCUCCACUGGCUGAGAAGAUAACUUUUGAAUGAGCCUGUUUCAGGGAGAUGAAAGUCAUCAUAGCUGGCUUAGCCCAUUUCCCAUUUCCCAAUUUCAUAUAUCAAGAUAUAUAAGUUAAUACAGAAGCAUAGUACUGUAAGAAAGAUGACACUUUUUUGCACUGAAUGGACCAUUAUGAGUAUUACUAAAGUUCCUAUUUGCCUAUUAAUUUAUCUGUGUCUGGUUAUUUAUUUUUAAUGUGAAGCAAAAGAAACAGCCUGUGUUUUCUCAGUUGUCAGUUAAAUUCUUCUGUAUUUCUCAAAGUAUGUCACCCUAAGAGAAAUACUGGCAUUCCUGAGAUUACAACUCAUGAGUGUUUUCUAACAUGGACAGGCAACAAGUAAGUAUUUUCCUACAUGAAUCACAUUACUUUAUUGCAGUGGCCAGUCUCAAUCAACACAUGAAUGCUGUGGUUCUGUUCCCCUUGCACCCUCUAUCACAGCCAAAUCAAGAUCUCCACUGAAAGUCAGAACACUGUCUUGCAGCUUAGUUUUCAAAAUUUUCAUAUGUCAGAAUGACAUCUCACAUAUGUAUGACAAGUAAUAUUAUACCACACAUCAUUACAUGUAUGAAAGCAUGAAUAUGUUCUAUUUACAAAUCCUAACCAUGAAAAAUGAAACCACAAUUACCCCAGUUUUCAUUUCUGAGACAGGCAAUUGAGAAAACUUUAUUCCAUGUGGACUAUGUGGAUUUGUGUGUAAAGAAAAUACUAUUGUUUUACUUGCAGAAAAACCCUGAAAAGCUUCCAAGGACUUUAAAAACAGUCUUGCUUUCAGCUACCUUAGAUCCUAUAGGAAUAGGAAGAAGAGAAGACUUUUCUUGUGCCAUUGUGAGUACAUCAGCAAGAUCAGCACAAAACUGUUCCCAUUUCUCUGGAUGACUCAGAAGAGCUGGAAGAUUAAUUUGAUAACCCAGGAAGACUCAUUCAGUCCAUGUUUGCAGGCCAGCCUGGCAUAGAAUGAAAUACAGAAUCUUCUCUGAAACUCCUGCGUCUCCCAGAGUAAAUCUGUGAGGAUUUGUAACACUCCAUUGCCCAUCCACCUCUGUGCCCUUGCCCCCAUCAGCAGGGCCUCCUCAGGCAGCCACCUGGGAAGCAAUGUAGGAGCCUAUACAGACAGUUAUACAGCCAAUAUUUGUAUUACAUCUGCUGGCAAAACUUGCCACAGACCCAAGAUCUCCUCCAUGACUGUUCACUGCAGACCAUGUCAGCCAAGGUGGUACAGUCAAGCACCUCUCUCCAGGUUUUACAGCCAUUGAGGAAGAACAGGCUCAUAAACAAUACACUCUCUGCAUAUAUAAAUGCUGUUAUUUGUGUCUCCUGCCUAUUAAAAGGUGUAUCUUUUUUCUUCAUGACCCAAGAAGAAAAAAAAUCAUGCACACAAAUAAAGAAUAUACAUGUAUCUUUUUAAAAAUAUAAAUCAGAAGAUCCUUUCUGUUCGAAUCAGGUUUUGUCCCAUAACACAGGAAAUAAGAGUUUUUCCAGAAAAUGGUGCCAUGCAUAUUUCUAAUACUUAUUAUCCUGACUGAGAUGAUGAAGCUACUUUUGUUCUCCAUACAAAAGUGGGUGCAGUGAAAAUUGUGUGUGACUUGCUAGCACAUUUGUGUUUUGAAGGGUUAUUGAUGUGAAUAGCAGGUGAAGUGUAAAGAAAGGCUCCAGCUGUUUCUUGUUUUGAAUUCUUCCUUGGUGCAAGCACCAAAAGUAAAUACUGGAAUGGGAAACGUUAAACUCAUAAGUGUCUCUGUUACACUCAAAAAGAAAAGAAUUAAACCCCUUUUCUGUUGCUGUGCUGUGCGGUUCUGCAACAUUGAUUUUAUUCACACAUAGUGCACAGCUGUUUAUUGAGUCUGACCCUUGAGGGGAAGCUGAAGAAACACUGGAAAUGAAACCACUCAGAAAAAGACAGUUUUCCUUUCCUGUUUACUUGAUAGAUAUUUUUUAUCUAAAAAAAAAAAAAAAAAAAAAAAAAA
ensembl:lncRNA